UUUUAAGUUUCACUUUACAAAAGGGAACUCCCACACUUCUUCAUUCAAGAGUAAUCUGUUCGGGUUUUUCCAGGAUCAUUACCAACCAUCCCCUGACAAGUAAACGCUCCUUCAAAUCUAAAGACAGCAAAGCUACCAGGAUGUCCUGCCUUUGGAUGAGUCUGAGUCUGCUCUUUGUCCUACAGCACAGCGUCUCAUCAGAUGAAGACGUGAAAGUGAACUGCCCCCAAACAGUGGAAGUCAAAGCUGGGGACUCAGCAACGAUAAACUGCAGCAUAAAAUGCAACGGAAUUUACUGUAAUGGCAUAAGUUUUAACUGGAGUGAUACACGUGAACCUGAUCUGUGUGAAAAUACCAACAGCUACAAGUGUGAAUGGGAUAACAGGACCUAUGUGUCGCUGACCAUCCUGAAAGCCAUGACGGAUGAAACUGUCAGAGUUAAUGUUUUUUUAAUAUGUGGUUUGCACGACAAUAGUACACAAAUAAAGAUAGCGUCUUCUGAGAAAAUAGAGAGCCCAUCUGACGACACGGGGAGUUGGACCAUUGUGAUAGCCAUCAUGAUUUCUGUUUUCAGUGUCAUCAUUAUUGUAGGAAUUUUAUUUUUCCUGUAUCGAACCAAAAAGUUCUCAAAAACUGCCUCACACCAAGCAGUAAACCAAGAAGAAAACUCAUCAUCAGGUGAGGUUUGAACAGAUGGCACCUGGACUUCUUCAGCUGUAAAUAACUGCUGGGAAUUUCAGGUUUUGAAGCACUGAGGACAUUUGCUUUCCACUGUUCAAGGUCACAUGUGAGCCACUGACCCACCUGAUCGCUUCACUGUGACCUGUGAGGACUUUACCUUCCUGACCGACAUCUUGGUCCAUAGUGCACUUGGUUGUGAAAGUGCCUGGGAAGGAAAGUCAGACUUUUAGUAUUUAAAACAUGGGUUCACUUUCACAUUGUGUGUAGUGGCUGGUUUAUCUUCAGAGCUCUGAAGGCUACACUUUACUGAUCUUUGUCUUAGUUUCUCUCGGUUUCAAAGCCUCCAUGUGAGACGCUACGGUUGUAUGCUUAUGUAAAGAUAAAGUGAGCUGGGCCUAUUUUUCCAAAUUGGUAAGCACAUACUGCUGUGGCCGGUUAUAAAUCAGUCCUGUGCAGAACUUUUCUUCCAAUCAUCUUCAUACAGAGACGUACGUAUAGCAGGGAGGGAAUGGGGUGUUAAGAGGUCAGUUGGCUUGUGUUACAAUCAAAAUAUAUAUUUAUUUUUUUCACUUUUAUACUUUAAUAAUUAUUAGAUUUUUUGUAUAUAUUAUAAUUUGGAUGAUGUAGCUUCACUGUACUCAUAUGUUUUCUAAAUAUAAGAUGCUGGACCAUCAACCAUUUAUUUUAUGAUGUUUUGCAGCUAUUUUAUACAGAAGCCUAGAGGGAACAAUCCCUAAAUUAUUUAUUCUAAUGUUAUCUCAAGGUCACAAAUGAAUUUAUGUUAUCUCUGAAAUCUGUCUUUGUGUGUUCUCUACAUGAGAGUGAUUAAGUUGAGCUUGAUAAUGAGUUGUUCAUGUAUCAGCAAUUAAUUGUUCUUGUUUAUCUGGGAAGAAUCUACAGCAGCAUGCUGAGACGUGCAUGUUUUUAUUCUCCAUUUAUAGUUUUACUGAACUCUAACAACUUGUUUUAUUGGACAUUUUAAAAGAGAUUAACUCAGAAAACGUCAAGGUUAAAGAUAUUAAAGAGCCCUGAGCUUCAAAUUAAAAACAAAAAAAAAAUUAUUUUUUUUUUGUGUGGUUUAAAAGUAUUUAAGUAAACUGCUUAUGACCAUUGUCCUUAUCUGUUAUUGUAAACAAAAGUGAAAAAAAAUGUUAUAGUAUAAAUGAAAUACUAAACUGAUCUUUUCAAAAAAAUGACUUAACCAGAUUAUUAUUUUUACUGCAUCUGUUUUAUUAUAAAUGUUUUAUUGUUGUCUUCAGUUUCUAAUGAUGGUUAAGCACUUUGGUCACUUGCUUUUAAAAUGUGUUGUACAAGUAAAUUUUAUUUGAUAAAGUCUAAUCUUUAAUCUUAUUUUCUUUCUUUUUUGUGAAAACAGUUAAGUGUAUGUUAAUGUUGCCGAAUUCCAAAUAAAGUUGUUUAUAUUCACAUGUGUCUCUACUUGCUGUUCUGACCACCAAUGGAGACUUUUCCAAUUAUCUUCAAUGUAAAAAUUGUUUAAUCAAGUUAAAACUGUAUUUAAAUAAAGGUGGAAGUACCAGAAGUCAUAGCAAACAUGAAUGAAUGAGCUGUUGCAAAGAGA